rnacentral:rRNA from 1 species
GUACACUCCUACGGGAGGCAGCAGUGGGGAAUUUUGGACAAUGGGCGAAAGCCUGAUCCAGCAAUGCCGCGUGUGUGAAGAAGGCCUUCGGGUUGUAAAGCACUUUUGUCCGGAAAGAAAUCCUUGGCUCUAAUACAGUCGGGGGAUGACGGUACCGGAAGAAUAAGCACCGGCUAACUACGUGCCAGCAGCCGCGGUAAUACGUAGGGUGCGAGCGUUAAUCGGAAUUACUGGGCGUAAAGCGUGCGCAGGCGGUUUGCUAAGACCGAUGUGAAAUCCCCGGGCUCAACCUGGGAACUGCAUUGGUGACUGGCAGGCUAGAGUAUGGCAGAGGGGGGUAGAAUUCCACGUGUAGCAGUGAAAUGCGUAGAGAUGUGGAGGAAUACCGAUGGCGAAGGCAGCCCCCUGGGCCAAUACUGACGCUCAUGCACGAAAGCGUGGGGAGCAAACAGGAUUAGAAACUCCAGUAGUCCC